rnacentral:rRNA from 1 species
AGCAGCCGCGGUAAUUCCAGCUCCAAUAGCGUAUAUUAAAGUUGUUGCAGUUAAAAAGCUCGUAGUUGAAUUUCGGGAUCAAUCUAUCGGUCGUGCAAUAGUACGUACUGAUUUUAUUGAUUCCUACCUUCUGAUGAACUAUGAUGUCAUUAAUUUGGUGUCAUAGGGAAUCAGGACUGUUACUUUGAAAAAAUUGAGUGUUUAAAGCAGGCUCACGCUUGAAUACAUUAGCAUGGAAUAACGAAAUAGGACGUUUGAUUCUAUUUUGUUGGUUUCUAGGAUCGACGUAAUGAUUAAUAGGGAUAGUUGGGGGCAUUAGUAUUCAAUUGUCAGAGGUGAAAUUCUUGGAUUUAUUGAAGACUAACUACUGCGAAAGCAUUUGCCAAGGAUGUUU